UACGGAGGGCGCAAGCGUUGUGCGGAAUUACUGGGCGUAAAGCGCGUGUAGGAGGCCUGGCAAGUCGGGUGUGAAAUCCCGGAGCUCAACUCCGGAACUGCAUCCGAUACUGCCAAGCUCGAGUCUCGGAGAGGAUGGCGGAAUUUCCGGUGUAGAGGUGAAAUUCGUAGAUAUCGGAAGGAACACCAGUGGCGAAGGCGGCCGUCUGGACGAUGACUGACACUGAGACGCGAAAGCGGGGGGAGCAAACAGG
rnacentral:rRNA from 1 species